rnacentral:lncRNA from 1 species
GCACAGCCACUGAAGGUGUGCCUGACCUGGCCCCGACCUGUCUCCUUGGCUUCAUCUCACACCACAUUCCCCCUUUCUUUUCUGUGCUGAUUAAUUUUAAAUUAAUUGAAAGAAUAUUAAUUUUCUUUCACUUCCUGGAAAGAACCAUGUUCCUUCCUGCCAGAGCACAUUACAUGUAUUUUUCUCUCUGAUCUGGAUUCCUCCCAAUUCCCACUCACCCUUCAGAUCUUAGCUUAACUGUCACUUCCUUGGGGAUGCUGUUUCUGACAACCCAGACCAGAUUAGAUUAUAGCCCAUGCACAGUUUUCUCUGACAUAGCCUGUAUCUUAGUUUUAACUUUAUAUUGAUUGGAUUUUUAUUUGAUUAGCAUCUCUCACUCUCCCACUUGGCUAUAAACGUCACGAGGGCAGAGAUCAUGGCUUUGAUUCUUUACCCACUGCAUCUUCAGCUUCUCAACAUGGAACCUUGCAAUAGUAUAGGCACUUACCAAAUAUUUAUUGAACUGAAUCAUGUAUGUCUGAAAUAAUACUAGACCUACAACUCUAAUUAGCUGAAAUAUACAGAUACAGAAUUGCCAAAGAAAUGAUUCCGAGAUCGCUAGCAGGUUAGGAAAUGGAAAUUUUAUGGGGAGAGGUGGGGGAGUGCCUAUAACAUAAGACGGUAGUGGGGAGGCUGGUGCCCACAGGAUGUCUUCACUGUGGUUCUGCCCAGGAUCCUGUGUUGGCUUUCAAAAAAACCAGUCACAGAAAUAAAAUCCCUUGCUCA